rnacentral:rRNA from 1 species
UACGUAGGGUCCGAGCGUUGUCCGGAAUACUGGGCGUAAAGCGCUCGCAGGUGGCCCGAUGCGUCGUGCGUGAAAGACCCCGGCUCAACUGGGGAGUGUCGUGCGAUACGGUCGGGCUGGAGGCCAGUAGGGGAGUGCGGAAUUCCGGGUGUAGUGGUGGAAUGCGUAGAGAUCCGGAGGAACACCAGCGGCGAAGGCGGCAUCCUGGACUGGUCCUGACACUCAGGAGCGAAAGCGUGGGGAG